rnacentral:misc_RNA from 1 species
AAGUCGUAACAAGGUUUCCGUAGGUGAACCUGCGGAAGGAUCAUUAGUGAAAUUUGGAAAGUUGACCGUGGGCUGUGCUGGCGAAAGCAUGUGCACGCUCCGGUCGCAACCCAAUCCACCACACCUGUGCACCUUUGGCUCCGAGUCUCGCCCCUUUAUGGGGGGGCAGCCGACCGAGAGGUCUGGGACGAGGGGUUCGUUUUUACACACUCUUGUAUAAGCAUGACGAUAGUACCCGUGCUUCGGCACACAACCUAAUACAACUUUCAACAACGGAUCUCUUGGCUCUC